rnacentral:miRNA from 14 species
CGAGAAUUUCGAGGCCUGAAUGC